rnacentral:tRNA from 1 species
GCCCUAGUAGUGCAACAGUUAAACUUUUGGCUGCUAACUGAAAGGUUGGCGGUUUGAACCCGCCCAGAGGCU